rnacentral:rRNA from 1 species
CUACGGGGUGCUGCAGUGGGGAAUUUUGCGCAAUGGGGGAACCCUGACGCAGCAAUACCGCGUGAGUGAAGAAGGCCUUUGGGUCGUAAAGCUCUUUUCUUGGGGAAGAUAGUGACGGUACCCAAGGAAUAAGCACCGGCUAACUCCGUGCCAGCAGCCGCGGUAAUACGGAGGGUGCAAGCGUUGUUCGGAUUUACUGGGCGUAAAGGGCACGUAGGCGGCACAGCAAGUUAAGGGUGAAAUCCCGGGGCUCAACUCCGGAACUGCUCUUAAAACUGCUGAGCUAGAGAUAGUCAGAGGCGGGUGGAAUUCCAGGUGUAGAGGUGAAAUUCGUAGAUAUCUGGAGGAACACCGGUGGCGAAGGCGGCCCGCUGGGGCUAUUCUGACGCUAAGGUGCGAAAGCGUGGGGAGCAAACGGGAUUAGAUACCCCGGUAGUC